GACGGGGGGGGCAAGUGUUCUUCGGAAUGACUGGGCGUAAAGGGCACGUAGGCGGUGAAUCGGGUUGAAAGUGAAAGUCGCCAAAAAGUGGCGGAAUGCUCUCGAAACCAAUUCACUUGAGUGAGACAGAGGAGAGUGGAAUUUCGUGUGUAGGGGUGAAAUCCGUAAAUAUACGAAGAAACGCCAAAAGCGAAGGCAGCUCUCUGGGACGGUACUGACGCUGAGACGCGAAAGCGUGGGGAGCGAACAGG
rnacentral:rRNA from 1 species